AAUGCUAUGUCUGAUUUAAGUAAUAAAUUGUAAAUUUAUUUAAGGAAAAAUUAAUAAUUCCUAGCAUUA
rnacentral:tRNA from 1 species